rnacentral:rRNA from 1 species
AAUGGGCGCAAGCCUGAUCCAGCCAUACCGCGUGUGUGAAGAAGGCCUUCGGGUUGUAAAGCACUUUAAGCAGGGAGAAAAAGUUAUAAGUUAAUACCUUAUAACCCUGAUGUUACCUGCAGAAUAAGCACCGGCUAAUUCCGUGCCAGCAGCCGCGGUAAUACGGAAGGUGCAAGCGUUAAUCGGAAUUACUGGGCGUAAAGCGCGCGUAGGUGGUUUGUUAAGUUGGAUGUGAAAGCCCUGGGCUUAACCUAGGAACUGCAUCCAAAACUAACUCACUAGAGUACGAUAGAGGGAGGUAGAAUUCAUAGUGUAGCGGUGGAAUGCGUAGAUAUUAUGAAGAAUACCAGUGGCGAAGGCGGCCUCCUGGAUCUGUACUGACACUGAGGUGCGAAAGCGUGGGUAGCGAACAGGAUUAGAUACCCUGGUAGUCCACGCCGUAAACGAUGACAACUAGCCGUUGGGAGACAAUGUCUUUCAGUGGCGCAGCUAACGCUUUAAGUUGUCCGCCUGGGGAGUACGGCCGCAAGGCUAAAACUCAAAUGAAUUGACGGGGACCCGCACAAGCGGUGGAGCAUGUGGUUUAAUUCGAUGCAACGCGAAAAACCUUACCUACUCUUGACAUACUUGGGAGCUCUUGUAAUGAGAGUGUGCCUUAUGGAACCAAGAUACAGGUGCUGCAUGGCUGUCGUCAGCUCGUGUCGUGAGAUGUUCCGUUAAGUCGGAUAACGAGCGCAACCCUUACCCUUAUUUGCCAGCGAUUCGGUCGGGAACUAUAAGGGGACUGCCGGUGAUAAACCGGAGGAAGGUGAGGACGACGUCAAGUCAUCAUGGCCCUUACGAGUAGGGCUACACACGUGCUACAAUGGGGAAUACAGACGGACGCUAAGCCGCGAGGUGGUGCUAAUCCUAGAAAGUUUCUCGUAGUCCGGAUUGGAGUCUGCAACUCGACUCCAUGAAGUCGGAAUCGCUAGUAAUCGCGGAUCAGCAUGCCGCGGUGAAUACGUUCUCGGGUCUUGUACACACCGCCCGUCACACCAUGGAAGUGGAUUGCACCAGAAGUAGAUAGUCUAACCUUAGGGAGGGCGUUUACCACGGUGUGCUUCAUGACUGGGGUGAAGUCGUAACAAGGUAGCCGUAGGGGAACCUGUGGCUG